rnacentral:rRNA from 1 species
UGGGGAAUAUUGGACAAUGGGCGCAAGCCUGAUCCAGCCAUGCCGCGUGAGUGAUGAAGGCCCUAGGGUUGUAAAGCUCUUUCACCGGUGAAGAUAAUGACGGUAACCGGAGAAGAAGCCCCGGCUAACUUCGUGCCAGCAGCCGCGGUAAUACGAAGGGGGCUAGCGUUGUUCGGAUUUACUGGGCGUAAAGCGCACGUAGGCGGACUUUUAAGUCAGGGGUGAAAUCCCGGGGCUCAACCCCGGAACUGCCUUUGAUACUGGAAGUCUGGGUAAGGGAGAGGUGAGUGGAAUUCCGAGUGUAGAGGUGAAAUUCGUAGAUAUUCGGAGGAACACCAGUGGCGAAGGCGGCUCACUGGACCAUUACUGACGCUGAGGUGCGAAAGCGUGGGGAGCAAACAGG